rnacentral:rRNA from 1 species
GAUGAACGCUAGCUACAGGCUUAACACAUGCAAGUCGAGGGGUAACAAGAGGAAAGCUUGCUUUUCUUGUUGACGACCGGCGCACGGGUGAGUAACGCGUAUCCAACCUGCCUAUAACUAGGGAAUAACCUUGCGAAAGUAAGACUAAUACCCUAUGAUUUCCCUUGAUGACAUCAGAUUAGGAAUAAAGAUUUAUCGGUUAUAGAUGGGGAUGCGUCUGAUUAGCUUGUUGGCGGGGUAACGGCCCACCAAGGCAACGAUCAGUAGGGGUUUUGAGAGGAAGGUCCCCACAUUGGAACUGAGACACGGCCCAAACUCCUACGGGAGGCAGCAGUGAGGAAUAUUGGUCAAUGGGCGGAAGCCUGAACCAGCCAAGUAGCGUGCAGGAUGACGGCCCUAUGGGUUGUAAACUGCUUUUAUACAGGAAUAAAGUUAGCCACGUGUGGUUAUUUGUAGGUACUGUAUGAAUAAGGACCGGCUAAUUCCGUGCCAGCCGCCGCCGUAA